UGUAUACAGCCUUGCAUCACCAUCAAGGUGAUACGCAUAUCCAUCAUCUCCCAAGCCUCCUUGUAACCCUUUUUUAUAAUAAGGACACUUCCUGUGAGGGUGACCCUCUUAGCAAAUUUUCAAGCACGCAGUACGGCGUGGUUAGCAGUAGGUGUGCUGAAGCGCUGAUCCGUGAAAUUUACCCGCUGGGAAAAACGUCUUCACAGUAUUGUUACCAGUGUCUGAAACUACAGAGUCAGCUUUCAGUGGGCGAUGGAUUAGGUGAGUCAUGGAGAGGCCUGACAAGAGAACCCUAAAGAGCACUUAGAACAACGGAGAUCUCCGUGUGCCUCCCCGGACCGGGCUCCAGGACAGGAAGGUGUAGAGCACAAGGAGCCGGGGAGCUGUGCGGGCAGGGAAGUUGCUGAGAGCUCUGAAGGCCAUCGCCCUCCACCCUGCCUGGGAGGCCUGAUUACAGCUCCCAGGACCAGAGCGAAUCAGACCCGGGCCACUGCUGGGGCUCAGGAUCAGAGCCAGGGUUAGCUGUGGGCUCCCAGAACUGUGACUGAGGCAAGCAUGCAGUGUGAGGAGAGGCACAGGUGGGAACAUUAAGUGAAACACAGGAAGGCCACACACAGACUAAAAUAAGUGUCGGCUCCUGACUUAAAGCUGCCACGGACGCAGCUCUGCUGUCACUUGCCGUCUCCACGUGACCGACUUACCGUGGUCUCUGUGCUGCAGAGCCCUUUCCGCCUCCUGGCCAGGCUGACCCCAGGGACAGAGGAGGAGGGAGGUCAGACGGGGACAGGGGCGGUCGUGAUGAGUGAGCCUGGCAAGGAGGGGGUGGACACCCUUCCCGGCCAUGGGGAGCCAUGGAGGGUUGCGGAGGGAGGUCAUCCUGCCCCAGGGUCCCGGUGGGAGCCUCCUGGUCAGCAC
rnacentral:lncRNA from 1 species